CCAGACCUUUUAAUACAAUGGGGCAGGAAAUGUCGUGGAAUCCCUUGCUCUUCAAGGAUUUUAACAGCAACUUACAUCAACUAAACAAAAUCUAUGUGCUCCCAUACAAAGCAGACUAAAGAGUCCCACGCAGACGGGGAUAUCGACUGAUCAGAUUUCAGGGCCAUGCCAUCAAGUUAUUAAUUAAAACACAACUUGAGAAUUCAAU
rnacentral:lncRNA from 1 species